ACGAACGCUGGCGGCGUGCUUAACACAUGCAAGUCGAACGGUGAAGCGCCUUCCUUUUUGGUGGGUGUGGAUGAGUGGCGAACGGGUGAGUAACACGUGAGUAACCUGCCCCCUUCUUCUGGAUAACCGCAUGAAAGUGUGGCUAAUACGGGAUAUUCUGGGUCUGUCGCAUGAUGGGUCUGGGAAAGAUAUUGUUUCGGUGGGGGAUGGGCUCGCGGCCUAUCAGCUUGUUGGUGGGGUGAUGGCCUACCAAGGCGGUGACGGGUAGCCGGCCUGAGAGGGUGGACGGUCACACUGGGACUGAGACACGGCCCAGACUCCUACGGGAGGCAGCAGUGGGGAAUAUUGCACAAUGGGCGCAAGCCUGAUGCAGCGACGCCGCGUGAGGGAUGGAGGCCUUCGGGUUGUGAACCUCUUUCGCCAGUGAAGCAGGCCUGCCUCGUUUGUGGAUGGGUUGACGGUAGCUGGAUAAGAAGCGCCGGCUAACUACGUG
rnacentral:rRNA from 1 species